rnacentral:lncRNA from 1 species
AUGACACCAAAUUUUUCUGCCAGUCAUAAAUGUCUACACAAGUGUUCUGAAAGGCUUAUGUCAAUUGACAUUCUUCUGUUGUCCAGACCUCAUUGGAUGUCCUCAUUGCAGACCACAAGGAGAUGGUUAAGUCUCUCUUCCCCAAGAAAAUUAUUUUUAGAACACAUUAAACUGAGCAUUGCUAUGAAUAAAUUAAUUGUCACAGAGAGUCUUAUACCUUUCUAUUGUUCUUAUACUCUUAGGACUCUGAAAGAGACUACAACAGGACUAGAUCCCCCUGUGCAAGUUCCAAGGUGUCAGGAAGGACUCUUCUUGACUGUGUUUUAAACUCCUCUUCUGGGAGCAAAAGAUUUUGCAAAGCCUGACAACUGCAUGGGAAGAAUUACACAACUGGGACAUCAUAUUCUCCACUCUCUUCUCCACACUCAGCAAAUCAAGGUGCUCACCUGUAUCAGGUGAAUUUAUGAAUCCCAGAAUCACAGAAUGGGUGAUGUAGGAAGGGACCUCAGGGGUUCAUCUGGUCCAACCUUUCUGCUCAGGCAGGGUCAUCCCAGAGCACAUGGCACAGGAUUGUGUCCAGACAGUGCUUGAACAUCCCCGGUGAGGGAGACUCCACAUCCUCUCUGAGAAAUCUGUUCCAGUGCUCAGUCACUGCAAGGUAAGAAGUUCCUCUCAUGUUCAGGUGGGAACUUCCUGUGCAUCAAUUUCAGCCCACCAUUUCUUGUCUUGUUGCUUGACAUUACUGAGCAGAGCCUGGCUCCAUCCUCUUGGCACCUUCACUACCAAUAGAGGUGGAUGAGGUUUCCUCCGUUAUUUCCUCCUCAGUCUGAACAGGCCCAACUCUUAUCAGCCUUUCCUUACAGGAGAGAUGUGCCAGUCCCUUAACCAUCUUUUCCUCCUUUUGCUGGACAUACUCCAGCAGCUGCAUGUCCUGCUUGUUCUAAGGAGACCAGAAUUGGACACAGCACUCCAGAUCUGCCUCACUAGGGCUGAGUAGAGGGGCAGGAUCACCUCCCUCAACCUCCUGGCAGUGCUCUUCUUGAUGUACCCCUGAACACCAUUGGUCUUCUUGGCCACAUGGACAACUGCUGUUCACCAAUAUCCUGUCUGCAUGUCUGUCUUGUAAAACAGAGCAGGACUAUUUUUUCAAUUAAUUAUGUAUUUUGGUUAAAUAAUAAAUAUUAUUUUCUGCCUUUCCCA